GAUGAACGCUGGCGGCGUGCCUAAUACAUGCAAGUCGAGCGAACAGACGAGGAGCUUGCUCCUCGGACGUUAGCGGCGGACGGGUGAGUAACACGUGGAUAACCUACCUAUAAGACUGGGAUAACUUCGGGAAACCGGAGCGAAUACCGGGGAAGAUAUUGAACCGUAAGGGUAAAAAGUGAAAGACGGUUUUGCUGUCACUUAUAGAUGGAUCCGCGCCGCCUUGGCUAGUUGGUAAGGUAACGGCUUACCAAGGCAACCAUGCGUAGCAGACCUGAGAGGGUGAUCGGCCACACUGGAACUGAGACACGGUCCAGACUCCUACGGGAGGCAGCAGUAGAGAAUCUUCCGCAAUGGGCGAAAGCCUGACGGAGCAACACCGCGUGAGUGAUGAAGGUCUUCGGAUCGUAAAACUCUGUUAUUAGGGAAGAACAAAUGUGUAAGUAACUAUGCACGUCUUGACGGUACCUAAUCAGAAAGCCACGGCUAACUACGUG
rnacentral:rRNA from 1 species